rnacentral:misc_RNA from 1 species
GUGAAUCAUCAAAUUUUUGAACGCAAAUUGCGCUUCCUGGUAUCCCGGGAAGUAUGCCUGUUUGAGGGUCAGUAUUAACAAAAAAUCGGUUUGGUUGCAAAUUGUGACGUUUCCGGAGUUUGGGCUUAUCUUAACUUUUUUGGUUAAGGGGCUUAAAAUUGACCUUUUUUGCGCAUUUUUAGACGUACAUAAAUUUUUUUUUAUUCGCUAAUUUUAAUUCCAAAAUUCUUUUUGAAUCGUUGAAA